rnacentral:rRNA from 1 species
CAUGAAGCUGGAAUCGCUAGUAAUCGCGGAUCAGAAUGCCGCGGUGAAUACGUUCCCGGGUCUUGUACACACCGCCCGUCACACCAUGGGAGUCGAUAACGCCCGAAGUCAGUGACCCAACCUGUAAGGAGGGAGCUGCCGAAGGCGGGAUUGAUAACUGGGGUGAAGUCGUAACAAGGUACC